rnacentral:sRNA from 1 species
GUGCGCAGGCGCGGACAGCGCUGCUUCCGCGGCGGUUGGGGUGGCGGGGCCCGGGGCGGCGUUGACCAUGACCCAGCAGGGCGCGGCGCUGCAGAACUACAACAACGAGCUGGUCAAGUGUGAGCGGCGCAGCCGGGACGGGGAGGUCGGGAGGGCCGCAGGGCCGCAGCGGGGUGCCCCUGGACCCGCCUCGCUGCGGGCAUCGCGCGGCUGAGCAGAGCCCUCCGUGCCGGGGGCUGGGUGUCCGUGGCCCGAGCCCUCGCUGUCUCGCAGGCCCCGCGCCGGGCGCUCGGGGGUGGUGCCUGACUCAGGCUUCCUCGGGUGUAAGGAGGCCCGCCCUCCGCCGCCGCGCUCCUACCCUGGGCCCACAGCGCCGCCCCUCCCGGCCCCCAGGCAUAGAGGAGCUGUGCCAGAAGCGGGAGGAGCUGUGCCGGCAGAUCCAGGAGGAGGAGGACGAGAAGCAGCGGCUGCAGAAUGAGGUGAGGCAGCUGACAGAGAAGCUGGCCCGCGUCAACGAGAACCUGGCACGCAAGAUUGCCUCUCGCAACGAGUUCGACCGGACCAUCGCGGAGACGGAGGCCGCCUACCUCAAGAUCCUAGAGAGCUCCCAGACUUUGCUCAGCGUUCUCAAGAGGGAAGCUGGGAACUUGACCAAGGCUACAGCCUCAGACCAGAAAAGUAGCGGUGGCAGGGACAGCUGACCAGACCACGGGCAGGGCCUGCCUCCGUGCGCCCCUCAGCUCAGCCCCAGCAAGUGUGCGCUCAGAGCAUCUUUGUUCUUCACGGCAGCAGCUAUCUUCCCUCACUGUCUCAGGUGCCGAGAGGGGCAGGUGCCGGCCUCCACUGGCAUCAGUGACAAGCCCAGGGCACAGCCCACCCGGGGGGUCCUGGCUUCGUGCUCACACAGGCUAUGGGGAUGGUGGGCUCCAGGUCAGCUCUGCAAGGGACCCGUCUCUGUGGCACCCACACUCCUGCCCUGCCAGGGAGGCCCUGGUUGUCUGAGCACCAUGGGGCCCCCUCACCUUGUCCCUCCUUAGCCAGCAGAGGCCCAGGGAAGGGGACAGGGGUUCUCCUUCACCCCAGAACCCAAACCUCAGGUCUCACCCCUGUGGCCUGUGAUUAUCAAUAAAGAUUAUCUUUGUAAAGAUC